CACUGCAUUUUCCAUCAACAGAGAGGAUGAGACUGGAUGUCCUUGAAACUUUCCUCCAGCCUGGAAAAUUCUGAAUAUGUGUCACAGUUUUUUUUCUUCUUGGAUUCUCAACUUCUUGAGACAGGACUGUUGUGGACAAGAGCAAAUGACAAACGAGAUAGUCAUGGACCUGCUAUGAUAAACCAUACAUUCUGGUGGGACAGAGAAACAGUAAGAAAAAAAAAAACUCCACUAAGAAAAUAAAAUGUCCAUGAAGAAAAUGAAAUGGUGCGUGGGGAUAGAAAGAAGAGAGGUGGAAAUGGAACUGGAUAAGAACAGAUGGUCACGGCAGCACCUGUGAAGACAACAUUUGAACUGAGACCGAAAUGGCCAGAAGAACCAGCCAUCUGCUACUAUUCGGAGAACAGCACCAGCCACUCGGUUGGCCGAACCUAGAAAAUGAGAGUUGUUCCUGAUUUUUUUCCUUUUCCUUCCUAUCUCACAUCUAAACUCAACAAGUGGAUGACUUGGUUCCUGCCAGCAUCUUCUCUUCUUCCGUUCUUCAUUAAACGAACCCAACAAUGGCAUCCAGGGAAAAGUCGAAGAUAAUAAAG